CAGAAACGGAGAGAGGCAAGAAGCACUUGCUCCAGGGGGAGUCUCCAGCUCAGUCAGGCCUUGGGGCACCCGGUGCACCCUGCUCUGUGGUACAGGGCUGGCUGGGCUGAGAAAUCUGUGUUCUGUUCCCUGCCACUGUCACCAGCACACUCAGCUCCUAGUCACAGGUGUUCAGUCCAGGGAGAGAGCCUGAAGUGGGGAAGUUGGUUUUCAGUAAUGGCCAUGUUUGACAACCAGUUCAUGACGUUCCUGAGAAUUUAGCAAGGGGCACGAACAAGCCUGUGCCAGCUGUCUGCAGCACGCUAUUAGCUAUGGUCCCGGCCACUCAGCAGUUUCACUACAAGAAGCCUCUACUUGAUCUUGAGAGCCCAAAGUCACACCAUUCUCAAACAUGAAAUCAAAGUGAGAAGACAUCUGAGAACAAAGAAAAAAAAGAAAGGGCUCACGUUGUGUGGUUCUGAGUCCACUGUGCACAGUUGGCACUGGGCUUGAACUUGC